GAUGAAGAACGUAGCGAAAUGCGAUAAGUAAUGUGAAUUGCAGAAUUCAGUGAAUCAUCGAAUCUUUGAACGCACAUUGCGCCCGCUAGUAUUCUGGCGGGCAUGCCUGUUCGAGCGUCAUUUCAACCAUCAAGCCCUGUUUAGGCUUGUGUUGGGGCCCUGCGGUUGCCGCAGCCCCCUAAAUGCAGUGGCGGGCUCGUUGUCACUCCGAGCGCAGUAGCGUAUCUCGCUCUGGGCGUGGCGGCGGGUGCUAGCCGUGAAACACCCACAAAGGUUGACCUCGGAUCAGGUAGGAAUACCCGCUGAACUUAAGCAUAUCAAUAAGCGGAGGA
rnacentral:misc_RNA from 1 species